GGACCCGCACAAGAGGUGGAGUAUGUGGUUUAAUUCGACGCUACGCGAAAACCUUACCUGGGCUCGAACGACUGAUGGUAGCUUUUAUGAAAGUAGAAGCGACCCGCAAGGGAGUCAGCCGAGGUGCUGCAUGGUUGUCGUCAGCUCGUGUCGUGAGAUGUUGGGUUAAGUCCCGCAACGAGCGCAACCCCUAUCCUGUGUUGCCUAGCAAUAGGAUCUCUCAGGAGACUGCCGCGGAUAACGUGGAGGAAGGUGGGGAUGACGUCAAAUCAUCAUGGCCUUUAUGUCCAGGGCUACACACGUACUACAAUGGCACAGACAGAGGGCAGCAAUACCGCAAGGUGGAGCCAAUCCCUAAACUGUGCCCCAGUUCAGAUUGUGGGCUGCAAUUUGCCACAUGAAGCCGGAAUCUCUAGUAAUCGCAGAUCAGAACGCUG
rnacentral:rRNA from 1 species